rnacentral:tRNA from 1 species
GCGGCUUUAGCACAACGGUCAGUGCGCCGCCUCGCCAUGGCGGAGACCGGGGUUCGACUCCCCGUAGCCGCUC